AUUGAACGCUGGCGGCAGGCCUAACACAUGCAAGUCGAGCGGAUGAAGGGAGCUUGCUCCUGGAUUCAGCGGCGGGCGGGUGAGUAAUGCCUAGGAAUCUGCCUGGUAGUGGGGGAUAACGUCCGGAAACGGGCGCUAAUACCGCCUACGACCUGAGGGAGAAAGUGGGGGAUCUUUGGACCUCACGCUAUCAGAUGAGCCUAGGUGGGGUUAGCUAGUUGGUGGGGUAAAGGGCUACCAAGGCGAGGAUCCGUAUCUGGUCUGAGAGAAUGAUCAGUCACACUGGAGCGGAAACACGGUCCUGACUCCUACGGGAGGCAGCAGUGGGGAAUAUUGGGCAAUGGGCGAAAGCCUGAUCCAGCCAUGCCGCGUGUGUGAAGAAGGUCUUCGGAUUGUAAAGCACUUUAAGUGGGGAGGAAGGGCAGUAAGUUAAUACCUUGCUGUUUUGACGUUACCAACAGAAUAAGCACCGGCUAACUUCGUG
rnacentral:rRNA from 1 species